rnacentral:tRNA from 1 species
GGGCCUUUAGCUCAGUUGGUUAGAGCACUGUGUUGAUAACGCAGGGGUCGAUGGUUCAACUCCAUCAAGGCCCACCA